rnacentral:lncRNA from 1 species
GACUGAUCGAUUGGCUCAGUGGUACGCGCAGAUGUGCUUCCCGAUCUUCCGCAUACCUCCACAAUCACUUGACAGAUUCCUGCGUAAGGAGAUUUUUUCACAUCGGGUUUGAUUCAUGUCAAUUGUUGCUGCAGACAUCCCUGGGCAGAAUCUGAGCCUGGCCGCCUCGCCGAUCCGUCGUCGCCGUGCUUCAGAAGGAUUCGGGACUUCACCAAGGUCUACAAUUCUUGAGAGCUCACUCUUCUCAUCAUGGUAAAGAAUUUCUACUUAAUCCUAACAAGAAUGAGUCCAGCUCUUUUCCGUGUCAUCUACCUUUUUUUUGCGGGAUGUGUCACUCUACCUUGAACUUGACAAUAACAACUUCAUGAAAGUAUAGUCACACGGAGGUCACAAAUUAAGUUGCACUGCCUCUGUAGAGGAUUCUUUCCUCUGAUCUGAGUACAACAAUGCUGGAUGCUAUUCAGAUUCCAAUACAUCAUUGAUUAGCGAUUCGCAGGUCGCAUGGAGGUUUUUGGCUGAAGUGGAGAAUGCUCGGCCCGAUCUCAACAUGCCCCUUUUCAUAAGCCAAGUGUAUUAUUUUAUUAAUUAGUCAAACAAGAGUACGAUUAUCAGCACCCCAGUUGCUUAAGAAACACAAAAUUAGGGAUAAAGGGUUUGAUUUCUGUACACCACAAAGUACGAGUUCACUUAUUUGACACACACCAUAAUUUCUAUGCCCUAUAAAUAUAUGUAGACAUAUAUCAAACAGAUAUCAGCCAAGUGUGUGCUACACUAGCAUUAAGUAUUAAUAUUAUGUAGCAAUGGACUGAACUGAUGGCUUUGAAAAAAAAACUGAACUGAUGCUAAUUAAAGUGAGAUUACCACAGUGAGAUGCUUCAUGUCUGCAUGGCGUUACUUUGUAGCUACAAUACACUGCUCCUCCUAUUCAUGCCAGCUUCAUAUAUGAUGUUAUCCUUUAUGCUAAUUCAUUAAUAUGUACUGACUUAUAAGUAAUUUAUAUUUUUUAGAACGGAUGGUCCACCGUGAUAGAAGUAUCAGAAGGCAUUGUAGUUGGUGAGGAAGAAUGACCUGGAAGUAACAAAUAUUUUGGGACAUGGUAGACACUUUAACUUCUCUUGUUUUCUCAUUUCCAAUAAUAUAAGAGCAGUGUGACUUGUCUUGCCGUUUUAUUUCAACUAAUAAUAGCCACUUCGCUUUGGCGGUGGAAUUAAAGCAAGAGAUCUGUCAGGACUAGCAUUAAGUAAGGCUGAAUUGGUUUCUAAACUUCAAGCUUUUGAGCAAGCGAAACAAGUACUCGAAGAAAAGUUCAAUGGCGUGGUGCAAGAAGUGUCCGAAAUUAAGUGUCUUCUGUCUGGUUGAUCUCUAAGUGAUAGUUCUUGUGAAAACUAGUGAUCAAGUAAGUUGUUGUCAUAUGUUGAUAUUUUAUUCUAUUAUACUUUGUGCCAAUUUAUUUACAAGGGUUGACUUUCAUAAACUACUCAACAUUUUGUAGGACUGAUGGUUCUACAUGCUAUAUAGAAGCAUCAAGGUUCUUUGUAAUUGCCGAUGAGGAAUGAUAUCCAUUCAAAUAACGAUGAUGUCCCUCGAUUGAAGAUUAAUAAUUAUUAUCUUUUCUAGUUUCCUGUUUUCCAGUUAGAUAUGAGCAAGUACAUUGUUCAUAUAAGGAGUGCUUUUGACUCAAUUUCUUAAAUGAUAUUGUAAUUUCAGAAUUGUAUGUCGGCAUUUUGGUAUUUCUAUUAAUAAACGACGCUAUCAUCCUUUCAAUUCAGAUUCUUUCGUUUCUGUAUUAAUGUGGAUGUUAAUAUUUGAAUGUUGGAUGCUGCAUAA